AUAGAAAGCUAUGGAGAAUUCUUUUCGUCCAGUAACUCAUUAACAUCAACAAUUUUUUUCGUUUUUGCAGACAUCAAAAACAGAAACAUUUUGAGGAAUUGCCUCUUUUAUGGCUUAAGAAGAAAGUCCAUGGACAUUGUGUAGCGUAGACAGCUCUUUUCAAUCUACAUUUUAUGUUUAGAUACUUGUCAUAUCUUCUUAGCUUUUCGGGUAUCUUCUUCGUAAUAUGCCACAAACACCAUCUACGCUUAGCUUCUGGAAAAACUUGUUCAACAGCACUUUUCAUUGCAGCGUCUUGGUUCCUCCCAUACAAUCAAGCCAUGUUUCGAACAACCAAAUAAAAGUGGGUAUCUCCUGGUUCGCAAGCAAACCACAACCAAAUAAAAUAGACUGCCCAUGGUGGUUUACCCCAACAAAAGGGGCGAAAGGCAUGUCGUACUUAUUAGUCAAAUAGGUUGUGUCAAAUGUUACCACUUCGCCAAAUUCUUUAUACGCUUCUCUGCACCUUUUGUCUGCCCAAAAGACAUUCUUCAAGCGAUUGUGCUUACCCAUGUCAAUCCUAUAAUAAAAAUCUGGAUUCAAUUUUUUCAUUCUCUCAAAGUAAUUAUAAAGUGCGGUAGCAUCUCCUUCUCGAAGAUCUAAAUGCUUCUUUUUCGCAAGCAUGUUUCUAAGAUCUUUUUCAUCAUACGGAAGGUUCCCAGGUCCACCGGCUUUAGCUGCACACAUAUUGAAGUUUUGGUACAUUUUUAUUCCGGCCUUGUCAUGGUUAUGAUCCUUCUUUUCACACUUUUCCUAAUAAACUUGUUGCACCUCAUGAACCUAGCUUUACUUGGGGUCGUCCUAUGAGUGUGGUCGGAAACAAAAACGGUAAUCAUCCAUUUAUCAUCCCACCCUAAACAUGCUGUUACCCUAGCCUCGCAUUCACAUUUUCCUGUUGGAUCAAGCUCAAACGGAGUAACUGAUGUAGUUUUAUGCUUUCCUUCCCGAACACAAGCAAUUGUUACAUGUCUUAAAACCCCCAUCCUUUUUUGACAACCGCAUCUUACAUCCAAAUCCUUUUCCAACUGCACAACGUCUAUAAAAUUCAUAUACAUUAUCGACGUCAUCAAAUGCCAUUCCAACUUCCGGUACCACUAUAUUGCAAUUAUCAUCUUUUCCACCUGAGUUAGCACUCUCAUCCAACUCAAUGCUUACUAGAUUGUUAUCCAUCUGCAUAUAAAAAGUUUUAAUAACUCUCUAAGCUUAAAAAAGAAAAAGUCAAUAUUAGAUCUAUUGAUGUUAGUAGUGACUAGGACCAAAACGACGGAUUCUUAAACAAAUAACUAUUGAACAUUCUCUAGAAUUUCUAGACAUCUCCCCCCUGGCCCUCUUUAAUGUCAACAAGCCCAACCGAAAACGUUAACCUUUUUUUCUUUGUUCCCGAAUAUUUCGUCUGUGAGCGUAAGACAGGCAUUUCGAAUGAGGUUCAAAAUCAUUUUCACUGAUAAUUGCUUUCAGUUUUUAGUUUUUUUAUUUUAAAUUGUUGAUUCCCUGUUUUACUUUGAAAACUAGGGGUUUGCAGAAUUUGCAUUUCGAAUGUGCUCCAGCAACAGCUCUUAGUAAUUCUUAAUGCAUGAUUUUUUAAUUGAUGUUGGUCAAGUGGAUAAUCCUCAAUCUGAUCAUGGAAAUAGCAAUAGAAGAAGGAGAACCUAAUUGCAGGGAGGUAAGAUUUUCACAAGUCUUCAGAUUUUAAUUCUUAUUAAGAAUGGCUUAGUUCAACAAUGUCGAUGAUCUUGAUCCAUAUGCCUCUCUCUUUUCGGAAUGUUUCUAUCUUCAAAAUUUUGAUUCGACAAGAAUUUGAUGUGCUUUUAGACUUUAGAGCAUAAACGUUGUGUGCAACUAAGACAGGCAAUUAUUAGCUAGCCUGUCGCCCAGGAGGAAAUGGAAUACAAAGGUUCAACAAGAUUCUUACAGUUACGGAGGUACUGCCACUUACAACCAAGGUUGAGACGUUAACUCCAUCUUACCGAGUUUCAUCUUAGGUACGCAACAUUGUCGAGUUUCAAUCAGAAAGUGGCGGUAAACUUGGGAAGUAGGAAAUAUAAGGUGCUGCAGUUGAACUUGGUGACUGGACGAAGAAAAUUGUAGAAUGCCCGGUGUUCGCCGACGUGCAACGCACGUGCACUCUACUUGUACAGAUUAAUUACAAUAGUUAAGAUUCUAUAAACAUUGAAACUGAUAAUUUAUUGUUCUCAGGAAAAAGAGAUUUUUAUUUUAAUGUCAGAAAGUAAAUAGCAAUUUUUGCUUUGUAACCCAAAAGCUAGAAUAUUAAACUUUGAUUUACAGUA